CAGCCGCCGCGGUAAUACGAAGGGGGCUAGCGUUGUUCGGAAUUACUGGGCGUAAAGCGCACGCAGGCGGCUCGAUAAAUUAGAAGUGAAAGCCCCGGGCUUAACCUGGGAAUUGCUUUUAAGACUGUCGAGCUAGAAUCCAGAAGAGGGUAGUGGAAUUCCGAGUGUAGAGGUGAAAUUCGUAGAUAUUCGGAAGAACACCAGUGGCGAAGGCGACUACCUGGUCUGGCAUUGACGCUCAUGUGCGAAAGCGUGGGGAGCAAACAGGAUUAGAUACCCCUGUAGUCCCUGUCUCUUAUAA
rnacentral:rRNA from 1 species